CCAUCCCCACCCAAAGCUUGUACAUUUCAAUGUGUCUCUGAUGCUGAAAAGGUUCCAUUAAUGCAAUAAAAUUGAAAUUUUUCUGUCUAUUUAACAACACAACCCUUUCAAAAUCUUGUUGAGUGUUAACAGACCUAAUAUUCCAUAUCAAUGCACUAUUUAUUGGGAACCUUUUGAUUUAGAAGUUGUUUUCCUUGUUUGCACACCUCCAGCAGUUGCUGGAGGUACACUUUUAUCCCUGCUUGUUUUCUUCUUUGCCUCCUUCUUUGUUUUGCAAGAUGCUUUGGUGAUAUAUCUCCUUUGGUUAUAGCCAUCUGCAAGUUCUUUGUUGUGUCCUGAUUAUCCAUCUCAUCAUCAUCACCAAUAUCAAUAGCAUUGGAUAGUUCUUCUUCUGUUGGUUGUUGUACUGUUGCUGCAAACCUUGAUGCUUGUUGUUUCAUUGUGCCAUCAUCCAUGUUGGAGUGUAUUUUCUUAUUUUGGAUCUCAUUACUCUGCAUUUCCUCUAUUUGUUUUCCAGAUAUAGCUUUUGGAUCAUCUUGUUUCUCCAUCUCUAUUUUAGGCACUGCUUGACUAUCUUCUUUUGCAUCUUCCUGUUCUUGCCCAUCAAUAAUUUGAUGUGUUUGUGCACUACAAACUAUCAGGAGGUUUAUCAGGUUCUUUAUUCAAAUCAACAUCAUGCAUCCUAGGUCCCGUCUCUGAUUUGUCAUCAGAACGUUUGUUGGAUCAGGCUAGGCUUCCUCCUUCUUGGGUCUAUAUUCAGGAUGAACGACCCAACAUCCAUUAAUAUCAUGCCCUUGAAGCAUACAAUUAGUGCAGUAUUUAGGGAGAUAAUCAUAUUGUAUAUUUUGCCAUUUUGAUUUGAUCUCACCAGUUUCCUCAUCUACACAACUGAUAUGAAUUCGUUUUGGUAAUUCCUUUAACAAAUCAACUUGCACUUUCACACGAGCACAACUUGGCCUUGUCCGAUUACUUGGUGCUUUGUCAAUCACCAAAGGAAUUCCUACUGCGUGUGCCAUAGAAAAAAUGGCUUCUUUAUCAAACAAA